UUGAACGCUGGCGGCAUGCUUUACACAUGCAAGUCGAGCGGCAGCGCGGGGGCAACCCUGGCGGCGAGCGGCGAACGGGUGAGUAAUACAUCGGAACGUACCCAGUUGUGGGGGAUAGCCCGGCGAAAGCCGGAUUAAUACCGCAUAAGUCCUGAGGGAGAAAGCGGGGGACCGUAAGGCCUCGCGCGAUUGGAGCGGCCGAUGUUCGAUUAGCUAGUUGGUGGGGUAAAGGCCUACCAAGGCGACGAUCGAUAGCUGGUCUGAGAGGACGACCAGCCACACUGGAACUGAGACACGGCCCAGACUCCUACGGGAGGCAGCAGUGGGGAAUUUUGGACAAUGGGCGCAAGCCUGAUCCAGCCAUUCCGCGUGCAGGAUGAAGGCCUUCGGGUUGUAAACUGCUUUUGUACGGAACGAAAAGGCUCUGGUGAAUACCUGGGGCUCAUGACGGUACCGUAAGAAUAAGCACCGGCUAACUACGU
rnacentral:rRNA from 1 species